AAAUGAAUAGACGGGGGCUCACACAAGCGGUGGAGGAUGUGGCUUAAUUCGAGGCUACGCGAAGAACCUUAUCCAGGCCUUGACAUGUACGGAUGCUGCCCGUGAAAGCGGGUUAGUUGCCUUCGGGUGAAACGUGCACAGGUGCUGCAUGGCUGUCGUCAGCUCGUGUCGUGAGAUGUCGGGUUAAGUCCCUUAACGAGCGAAACCCUUGUCUCUAGUUGCCAGCGAGUAAUGUCGGGGACUCUAGAGAGACUGCCGGUGUUAAACCGGAGGAAGGUGGGGAUGACGUCAAGUCCUCAUGGCCUUUAUGGUCUGGGCUGCACACGUCCUACAAUGGCAUAUACAAAGGGAUGCUACCUCGCGAGAGCAAGCAAAUCCCAAAAAGUAUGCCCCAGUUCGGAUUGCAGGCUGCAACUCGCCUGCAUGAAGCCGGAAUCGCUAGUAAUCGUGGAUCAGCAUGCCACGGUGAAUAUGUUCCUGAGCCUUGUACACACCGCCCGU
rnacentral:rRNA from 1 species